GCAAGUUUGGGCGCUGCACGUUCCCUUGCGGUGACCUAUUUGUGGAUGUGUCUGUGCUCAAAUUUGUCUCCAGCCCCUGUAGCUGCAAUAUGCAGGAAAACCACCUCAACAUUGUAGAGGCAUCAUCGACCUUAGACUGAGGAGGACGCAGAGCAUGUGUAGCCACUGCAGGACCUGUGUUUACCCUCCCAGUCUUCCAGGAGCUGUCCCACACUGCUCCAUUCCCUGUUACACGAACUGUGCUAGUCACAUUUUUAAACUCCACUGCUCAAGGCUCACCAACCAGAAAGCACCCUUCUGCCUUUACAACCUUCCUUGUGUUUUUGAAAUGCCUUUUCCUGAUUGCCCACCUUGGCGAGCAUACCUAGUAUGCUUACCAGGACAGGGGCCUGGCUCUGAGCCCCUGGAAGGGGCAGAGCUGGGGGGUCAGCCUCCACCAGCUAGCCCUACUGCACUGCCUGUGGCUCCAGCCACUGCUGCGGGAGCCCUGGGCCCUUUUAAAUCACCAGGCCCCAGAGUAGCUGCCCCUUUUGUCCCCUCCUCUCAGCAGCCCUCCCAGGAGUGUCCUUAAAACACUGCCGCAGCAGCGCUUUAGCAUUGGCUAUGUACAGACCUGUACCGGUGGCCACUUAUUACUGGUACACCGUAUUGGCCCACUUUCACCUCUGCUAGCUGCUCACCUUUGUUGUGUGCAACCACCCAGCUGACCAUGGCAGCGCCGUGCACUAGUUAUGCUCCUGCCUGAAUCAAACAGGAACUAGUGGUUCUGUGCAUUCACAGCUACAGGCCACCUGUAGAAAUGUGAACAUUUUACACAUGAGCAGAUUACACAGGCAAAGAGGUAUGACAGGAAUCAGGAGCAGUGCAGUGUGAAAGCAAAGGCCAUACAUCAGGGAAACCACAAGGUGAGGGAGCACAACAGUAGAUCUGGGUGCUUCACCAUAGACUUUCUGUUUCUGCAAGGAACUACGUGCCAUGCUUUGCGGAGACCCCCACCAGCAUGCUCCAGACCACUGUGGAUACCUGAAGGACCAUGAAACAAAGACCUCUGCUUUGAACAGCAGGAAGGAGGGAGAUGUGGUGGAGGAUUCCAGUCAUGGAAGCCAGGAGCUAUUUGAGACUGCUACAGUCUAGCCAGUGUCACCAGUCAAAUGUGGAUGAGCCUGAUGAAGGGGAAGGGAACUUGGAGGUGUUAAUGGGCCACUCAGCAAUUCUAGUCCGUGGACACCUGCAAGGGGGGAGUUUCAUGCAACAGGGAUGAGGAUUUUGGGGACGAGGAAGAUGAGGAGGAGGAUAGUGCACAGCAUGCAAGCGGAUAAACCAUUCUCCCUGAUGGCCAGAAACUGUUUAUCACCCUUGAGCCAAUACCCUCCCAACCCUCCCAAGGUGGGCUCACGGACCAUGAAGCUGGAGAAGGCACCUCUGCUGCAAAUGUUUCAACGCUCUCCCUAUCAUCUCCGUCCCAGAGGCUAGCACAGAUAAGAAAGUGAAAAAAACACACUCAUGAUUAAAUGUUCUCUGAGCUCAUGCAGUCCUCCUGCACUGAAACUGCUUAGCAGAAUGCUUGGACGCAAACAAUGUCAGAGUCCAGGAAAGCAGAAAAUGAACGCAAGGACAGGAGGGAUGAAUGAGAUGAGAGGUGACGGGAGCAAGAUGAGAGAUGGCAGCAGUGUGAUGAGUGGAGACUGGAUGCAAUGCUGAGGCUACUGGGGGAUCAAACUGAUAUGCUCUGGCGUCUGGUGGAGCUGAAGAAAAGGCAGCAGGAGCACAGACUGCUGCUGCUGCCCCUGUGUAACUGCC